UCUUUAAUAUGCCAAAUUUAGCAUUUUUUUAUUUGUUAAAAAAUUCUGGCUGAAUAGUAGCCAAAGUUAGACUUUUUUCAGUCUCUAAAAUCCCUCUAGUCAGUCUGCUAAUGUCAUACCUUGACGGCUAAACCAGACACCCCCAGAUGAAUACAGGGACUCUCAGAUUGCUCAUUAUUAAACUCUGUUUUGGUUCAAGUAGCAGUCAGUAAUUACAUUUUAAGAUUAAAGAUCAAGAUAGAGCCCAAUCCCAGCCAUAAAUCUUCACUCAGACUACUAUGAUCCCAAAUGAUGACUUUUUCUGGAAAUCAUAUUUGUGUCCUAACAGGUCGCGAGAACAAUCUAGCCUCUCCCCGCCACACGUCCAAGCUCCCCCUUUGAAGACUGUGAGAGCAGCACUGCGACAGACUCGGGUUUCCUCUUUAAAGUGACUCACUGGCUAUCUAUCACAAGUGUCCGUAUUACCCAGUCAAGUCUCUGACAGUCUUUUAUGAAUGGACAUCCGAUAGAUCAGAAUCAGAUUUGACGAUGCCCAUCAAAAGACUGUCUGUGGUUCAAGUUCAACAGCACCGUGGCAACAAGGGGAAAACGAGGAGUAAAAGAGGCAAAAAAGACAUUGAAAGGAGGAGUGACAGAAAGAAAAGGGGCAGUCCCGUAGCUCAUUAAACCUUGGAGGGGGGUGGUGGAGGAGCACUUUCUUUCUUUCUUUAUGUGAGCAGUCGUAACAGAGCCUGCAAAUGGAAAAGGGAGUCGAGGAUGAAAGAAGAAAGAAUCGAGCAAAUCAUCAAGAAGCUAAAAGUGAGCGGGGUCAGACAGUCUUUUAUUUUUCUGCCACUGAUGAGCAUGGAUUUGAGGUGGGGGGGCAUUAGCCAGCUGUGAGAGGCAGACUUUCAGCUGAAUUUGGAAGAUGAAAUGCUCCCACCUCUGACCCGCCGGCUCUGCAGAGACAUGGAUAGCAUGCCACACGUGGGGAUCAUCUGCAGCCUUCAUCGCCCUCUCUCCAAUUACUUAUCUCCCUACUUGUGUCACAAGCAAUCAGCCGACCAGCGUGUCCACACGUCUGCCCGUCUCCCUCAGUCUGUCUCCUAAUUGUCUUUAUCUUUGCUGUUGGGAAAGGUUAAUUUCAAACGUGAGAUGCUCGGCGAGAUGUCUUUUCCCACUGAUUAUGCCACAGCUGAUAAAAGCACAGCGGUGAUGAUAAUCGAAGGGACCUUUUUUUUUUUAUACUUCUUGUUAUGAUUAAAGACGAGCAAUCAAAAAGUGAGAGCUGCGAGCAAUCAAACAGCUGCCCUGCACAGCAUCUGAAGCCCAGGCGUUCAGGUUUCUGUUGUUUGGGCUACUGGGUGGGAAGAUUUACUAGCUUUAGAUAAAGCAGGCUCUUUUUCCCACCAAUACUGCUAAUAAACAGACACAAAA